rnacentral:rRNA from 1 species
AUUGAACGCUGGCGGCAGGCCUAACACAUGCAAGUCGAGCGGAUGACGGGAGCUUGCUCCUUGAUUCAGCGGCGGACGGGUGAGUAAUGCCUAGGAAUCUGCCUGGUAGUGGGGGACAACGUUUCGAAAGGAACGCUAAUACCGCAUACGUCCUACGGGAGAAAGCAGGGGACCUUCGGGCCUUGCGCUAUCAGAUGAGCCUAGGUCGGAUUAGCUAGUUGGUGGGGUAAUGGCUCACCAAGGCGACGAUCCGUAACUGGUCUGAGAGGAUGAUCAGUCACACUGGAACGGAGACACGGUCCAGACUCCUACGGGAGGCAGCAGUGGGGAAUAUUGGACAAUGGGCGAAAGCCUGAUCCAGCCAUGCCGCGUGUGUGAAGAAGGUCUUCGGAUUGUAAAGCACUUUAAGUUGGGAGGAAGGGCAGUAAGUUAAUACCUUGCUGUUUUGACGUUACCGACAGAAUAAGCACCGGCUAACUCUGUGCCAGCCGCCGCCGUAACAC